UACAGAGGAGGCAAGCGUUGUUCGGAAUUACUGGGCGUAAAGGGCGCGUAGGCGGCCUUCUAAGUCGAACGUGAAAUCCCUGGGCUCAACCCAGGAACUGCGUCCGAUACUGGAAGGCUUGAAUCCGGGAGAGGGAUGCGGAAUUCCAGGUGUAGCGGUGAAAUGCGUAGAUAUCUGGAGGAACACCGGUGGCGAAGGCGGCAUCCUGGACCGGCAUUGACGCUGAGGCGCGAAAGCCAGGGGAGCAAACGGG
rnacentral:rRNA from 1 species